CGCUGGCGGCGUGGAUAAGACAUGCAAGUCGAGCGCUGAUUUCAGGGUAGCAAUAUUCUGAGGUCGGAGCGGCGCAAGGGUGCGUAACACGUGGGUAAUCUGCCAUGAAGUUCGGGAUAACUUGCUGAAAGGCGAGCUAAUACCGGAUGUGACAGCUGGAAGACAUCUUUUGGUUGUUAAAGUUGGGGACCGUAAGGCCUGACGCUUCUUGAUGAACCCGCGGCCUAUCAGCUAGUUGGUGAGGUAACGGCCCACCAAGGCUAAGACGGGUAGCUGGUCUGAGAGGACGACCAGCCACACUGGAACUGAGACACGGUCCAGACACCUACGGGUGGCAGCAGUCGAGAAUUUUUCACAAUGGGCGCAAGCCUGAUGGAGCGACGCCGCGUGGGGGAUGAAUGGCUUCGGCCCGUAAACCCCUGUCAUUCGCGAUCAAACGUUAUUAUUUAAAAGAUGAUGACCUGAUAGUAGCGGAAGAGGAAGGGACGGCUAACUCUGUGCCAGCAGCCGCGGUAAUACAGAGGUCCCAAGCGUUGUUCGGAUUCACUGGGCGUAAAGGGUGCGUAGGUGGUGAGGUAAGUCGGAUGUGAAAGCUCGGAGCUCAACUCCGAAAUGGCAUUGGAAACUACCUUGCUCGAGGGUUGGAGGGGGGACUGGAAUACUUGGUGUAGCAGUGGAAUGCGUAGAUAUCAAGUGGAACACCAGUGGCGAAGGCGAGUCCCUGGACAACUCCUGACACUGAGGCACGAAAGCUAGGGGAGCAAACAGGAUUAGAUACCCUGGUAGUCCUAGCCGUAAACGGUGCACGUUUGCUGUAAAAGGAAUCGACCCCUUUUGUGGCGGA
rnacentral:rRNA from 1 species